UGGGGGCUGAAGGAGCAUUGGCACUGAGAUUUGGACAAUUCGAUGGUGAAGCAUAAAUAAAGGGACAACCACUAUAACUCAUCGUGGAGCAUAUGCAUGCACGUGACUUACUUGGGCAGCCAAUACAAGUGUGCUGUUGUGUGGGCAGCCGAUGGUUCAGGCAAUUGUGAAUUGGCUGCGCAGGUAGAAAAAGAAGCUGCUCUAGAAAUAAAAAAUACAAUGGCGGUCGAUAUAAAAGAGAUAAUUGAUUUCUAGGUUACAUGAAGCUUGCUUUGGAGCUAAUGAUUAUCUCUUUAAUGAGGACAAUGGCUCAAACCGUCGACGAUUUUCGACAACCAUCGAAAAUUUCCAGCGACCAUUGGUGAUUCGCUUGCUAAUCACUUCAAAUCCCAAAUCAAUUCCAUGGCCACCCUUACUGUCGUUCCCGAGGUACACCUCUCUACCUUCAUCAUCUUCCCCGUACCUUUUACCUUCCUUUCCUCACAUAGCCAUUUUCGCAUUUCUUAGGUCCUCAAAGACAGAAUCACCAUCCCCAUAACUGAUA
rnacentral:lncRNA from 1 species